CUAAAAACCCUGAUUCUAUUCCCUUUGGUUUUAUCAAUCAAAAUCCCCUUCUCAUAAAGUUUCUCUCUUGAAGAUUUCAUGCCUACCCACCUUUAAUCUCAAGCAACGGAAGAGACGCGGUGUGCAAUUUGACUGUUCCACUUUCCUUUCAACGUUCAAUUAAAACCCUAGCCUCUUCCUUUUACUUCUAUCGGGGGGGGAAAGGGAAUCAUGUCUUUCGAUCUCAUAUGCUGAAGCCGUCCUGCAGCUGCUUCGGAUCCUCCCAAGAUCUAUACGGCUGAGGACCAAAAGAAGAAAUAUGAUGAGGAUCUAGUGAGUGGCUGUUCGAGAUUUCGCCCUCGCUGAUUCUCUACACUGCAAAUCCGUAAAAAGCCAGUGGACAAUGCCAGUGUUCUUGAUGCACGUUUGAAAACCAUUCUUGAAAAUGUUCGAUUGAAUUAUCUUUUAGAACGGGAGGAAGGUGGUUGGGAUGCUAAUCUCAAUUGGGAAGACAUCUUAUCGCUCGAAGAACAGCAGAGAUUAGGCAUGGCAAGGUUGUUCUUCCACACGCCUAAAUUUGGUAUCCUUGACGAGUGUACAAAUGCCACGAGUGUCAAUGUUGAGGAGCAACUUUAUAGACUGGCAAAAGAUUUGGGUAUUACUGUUAUUACCUAGUCA